rnacentral:lncRNA from 1 species
ACAAUCAAUCAGCUGAUAUUCAUUAGAUCUCUCAUAGCAGGCUUUCACACCGUCGUCUUGCCAAAGUGUUUUCGUGUGUUCAUAAAACUCCGGUGGGAAAUCGAAGUCUAUCUGGUUAGCUAAAUUUAAGAUGUAGUCGAUUCGAAACUGGUUCUCUGGAUUGGCUAGUUCAACUGGAGGUGCCAAGUUGCCCAUUGCUGUCACUAUUGUCUCUAUAGCUUCUUUAAUAUUGUUCUUAAUAUCCUGAAUUUUCAUUUUCUUUUCCUCAGCAUUAAAUCCAUUCACAUGCAAAAUCCUCAUCUGUUUGACUAUUGUGCUUUUACCAGAUUCACCAGCACCUCCCGGGCUCUCUCUCCCUCGGGCACGGCGCUCCCCGCCGCUCGGC